UCUGUCUUUAAAAAGACCUUUUAGCUUCUAAGUGAAUCGAAGACAGUAUGAACCUUUACCAAAAGGUUUUUAGACAUAUUCGAAGACAUGAAAAUGUGGUUCAUUCUGAAACUGCUGUUCACGCUGCUGUGGCUGACUAGAAGUUUCUGUUUGGCUUCAGUCCAGUCAAACAUCACAGCUGCUGAAGGAAGCCACGCCCUUCUCCCAUGUAAAGCUGACCUGAAACAAGGGGAACUCGAAGCAGUGAUUUGGAGCAAAUUCGACCGACCCGGUUCUGUAGUCACAAUAUUUGCAUUCACGGACGGCCACAAGAACUCAGGUGACAGAGUGGCUCUGCAGGAUGAACACAUGAAGGAUGGAAACUUCAAUAUAACCAUGAAGAACGUGACCCUCAGUGACAGUGGGACGUACACGUGUGACGUCGUUCAGGUUGACAUAAAUGACAAAGCUACCAAGAUAAAGACCUCCAGCUCCGUCUCUCUGUCUGUGGUUCCUCCAGGACACACCCGAGGACCUGGAGAGGACGGAGCCAAGCAGGACGGAGACAAGCAGGACGGAAAGAAUAGACAUUAUGGUCUAAUUGCAGCUGUUGUGUUUUUGUUGCUGUUGUUGCUGUUGUUGCUGUGGUGCGUCAAAGAUGCAAGAAGAAGAAGACAGACCUGAACACUGAAGUCUGUUUGUUCUCCUCGAUGAAGGAGGACGCAGCAGCAGAUGAAACUGGAGUCUAAGAGGCUCCGAUCUCCAUCUCUUCCAUCCUGGGUUCAUCUGUUUGACCUUCUGAUCGUCCCACAGAAGUAACGCAGUGGUCUGAGUCCUUUAAACAUUUCUGCCAGAGUCCUACAUGUUUUCCUCUUCAUUCAGCCAAAGACAGAAAAUCACCUGUUAUGAAACGAACGUCUGGCUUUUCUUUUGCAGACAACAAGGUUUUGCCACCUCUCGUUUCUAGGAGGUGAGUGGAAACGACACAUAAUGAAUUUAGACUAAAUGGUAUUAGAGGUUCAGUGAGAUUCAAAUUCAGAGACUGAACCCAGUUACAGAAACAUCAUCCAGUCAUUUUAUCUUCAUCCACAGAUCUACGUCAGCAUGAGAAUGAAGAGUGAAACACUGAAUUACCGUAUUGGCCCGA